rnacentral:rRNA from 1 species
GGGGAAUAUUGCACAAUGGGCGAAAGCCUGAUGCAGCAACGCCGCGUGAGCGAUGAAGGCCUUCGGGUCGUAAAGCUCUGUCCUCAAGGAAGAUAAUGACGGUACUUGAGGAGGAAGCCCCGGCUAACUACGUGCCAGCAGCCGCGGUAAUACGUAGGGGGCUAGCGUUAUCCGGAAUUACUGGGCGUAAAGGGUGCGUAGGUGGUUUCUUAAGUCAGAAGUGAAAGGCUACGGCUCAACCGUAGUAAGCUUUUGAAACUGAGAAACUUGAGUGCAGGAGAGGAGAGUAGAAUUCCUAGUGUAGCGGUGAAAUGCGUAGAUAUUAGGAGGAAUACCAGUUGCGAAGGCGGCUCUCUGGACUGUAACUGACACUGAGGCACGAAAGCGUGGGGAGCAAAC